GAGGGUAUAGCUCAGUGAUAGAGCAUAUGCUUAGCAUGCAUGAGGUCCUGCGUUCAAUCCCCAGUACCUCCU
rnacentral:tRNA from 1 species